CAUACUAGCGAAGCCCACAAAUGAUAAUGGCACGCGCGAAACCUGACCGCACCAAACGCGGGUCGCAACUCGCAAUCGCAACGCACCGCGCGGCGCUGCCGCAUCGAGAGUUUUUUUUUUUGCCGUUCUGCUUUUAGGGUUAGCGGCCCGCCCCGGUGAUCGCGGGAGAAGGGAGCAUCUGUCGCCGGAGUUUGGUGAGUGCCUGGUCUGCCCUGGUGCCCUGGCACCCUGCAUCGGCUGUCGUUGUAUUUGUCUUCCCACGACCGACUCAGAGCUCCCUGAUCUCAAGAUCUCGAGAGCUGCGCGCGGACUUUGGGUUGGAGCCGUGCGUAUCGAUCCAACUCCAUCCGCCGGGCAAAUUUGAGUCAGGAGGAAGGAUAUUCAUCGGCGCUUCUGAAUUGGGAGGACGCAGCGCAUACGAGAUUCGAUGAGAUUUUGUUGGGACACAGUUUCGCCGUGAAUUGGUUAGGAGCCGAUUUGGCAACAGGGAAGCUCUCGAAUGGGAGAUCCAGCGGCGGCAGUGGCGGCGGAGGGGAGAUGGUGAGCGGAAGCUUUAGCCGGAGCACAUCCGCGCGGCUCACGUCGAGGGGUGGAGUCGGGAGCCCGCGUGUCUCGACUCCUGGAGCCGUGCACCGGAACUGGUGGCCGCCGGCGCCGUCGGGGCCGUCGUUCGAUCGCGUCGUCUUGGCCUUUUUCCUGGCCUCCGUCGCGCUCGUGCUCUCCUGCGCUCUCUACCUCUACGUAUUCCGGUACUUGGGCCGGAGCCGUGUGGUCGCGGAGUUCGCCGGCGAGAAUCUCGAGUCCUGCGACGUGUUCGACGGCGUCUGGGUGCCGGAUCAGAGGCACCCCUUGUACAACAGUUCGCAGUGCCCAUUUGCAGAGAGGGGGUUCAAUUGCCUGGCCAAUGGGCGGAAGGACACCGAGUACCUCAAGUGGCGGUGGAAGCCUCGGGGAUGCGAUUUGCCGCGGUUCAGUGCCCGGGCUCUGUUGCAGUGGCUGAGAGGGAAGAGGGUCGUGUUUGUGGGGGACUCCAUGAGUCGAACGCAGUGGGAGUCCUUCAUUUGCAUGCUCAUGACAGGGGUGGAUGAUCCAGAGACGGUUUAUGAGGUUAAUGGCAACCAGAUCUCAAAGACAAUCCAGUUUUUAGGAGUGAGAUUUGAGUCCUUCAACCUCAGUGUGGAGUUCUUCCGGUCCGUUUUCCUUGUGCAGCAGAUCCCUGCGCUUCGCCAUGGGCGCAGAAGGGUCCGUGCCAUCCUGAAGCUUGAUAAGUUGGAUGGUUUAAGUCAGGAAUGGGUGAACUCAGAUGUUCUUAUUUUCAACUCAGGGCAUUGGUGGACUGCCAGCAAAUUAUUUGACAUGGGUUGCUAUUUUGAGGCUGGAGGUGUGCUUAAACUGGGAACAUCCAUUAAUGCUGCUUUCAAAAUGGCAUUGGAAACUUGGGCUUCAUGGGUGAAAGAGAGAAUUGAUUUAAGGCGAACACAUGUAUUCUUCCGUACAUAUGAACCGUCUCAUUGGAGUGGCUUAAAUCAAAAGGUGUGUGAAGUAACACAACAACCUACCGCUGAGGCCAAUGGAAAUGACAGGAGAGAAUUUGGGGAUAUACUUGCUGGUGUUGUGGCAAAUAUGAGUGUCCCUGUGACAGUACUAAAUGUGACUUUGAUGGGGGCCUUUAGAAGUGAUGCUCAUAUUGGACUUUGGAGUCAUCCUAAUACCAUACUAGAUUGCAGCCACUGGUGCCUUCCAGGAGUUCCUGAUGCUUGGAAUGAGCUUGUAUUUUCGCACCUUUUGACUAAUGUGACCUUGUUGCCAUCUCCAGCCAGGUCUGCUGAGAAGUUGAUCGGUGUGGAAGUCUAAGACGGAUGAAUUACACAAAUGAAGGGGUGAAUCUACCUGAAAUCGAUCAUUUGGAGACUCCUCCAAUUGGGAGUCCUCAAUUGUCCAAGAAGCUCAUAGUUUAUUCAAGAAAGAGGUUCAUCAAAAAGAAUAUCUCAUAAAACAAGGAUGAAGAAAUGAAGGGGCCUCGAUCUCCAAGUGCAUCAGUGUUGGGGGGUACAGGUUUGAAUGUGGGUCUGAACGCUACUGAAGAAAAUGCAGUGACAACGGUUCAGGAGACUGAGUUCAGUUCAGCCGCUAGCGUUGAUGCUAUUCAGUUAGCUCCACAGGCGGCUGAAACGAACAUUCUUUCAUAUGUGCAUAAACAAUUCUUUGACAAACUUGCCAAAGAGGUCUCCAGCCUUCUUGCAACACCUGAUGAUCCUUCUUUGACGUUGAAGAGUGCCCAAUCUUCUGCUGUUAUCCCACAGCGCAGUUGUCGACUUGCGGGGGUGGGGGUUCAAUAUGACAAGCAGGAUUUAUGCUCAAGGUUCACUAAAAGAGUCAUGAAGGCCCUGAAAGUGAUUGGGGACUCGGAGGGAAUCAGCCAACAAGCCAUAGAAGACUAUCUGAAAGUUUUCUCUAAAGAAUUGCCUCUUUCUCAUGUUGAAGCAUUGGCAGCAUUCUUUGGUUGGGCGGUGCCGGAUGAAUUAAAGAUAGGCAGUAGCCAGUAGCAUCAAUGUCAUUGCUGCUUGUUAAUUCUCCUGCCCUGAUGUAGUUGAUGUAAAAUCUGUUAAAUGGACCCAAAGAAAAUUUUUAGUUGGAAUGUAAGGGGCCUUAAUUCUGCAUCUAGGCAGAGUUCAGUUAGAACCUUUAUUGAAUCCUGUGCUGCAGAUUUAGUAUUGUCCUCAGGAAACCAAAAUGCAAAGAAUCAAUAAAGGAAAGGUGUUGGCUAUUUUGGGAGCAGAUUUUGAUCAAUUCAUUUCUUUACCAUCUGCUGGGGCUAGUGGAGGUAUUCUGGUAUCAUGGAGAAGACAUAUAAAGUUGACAGAGCUAAAUUGAGUGGAUGCUUAUAAUGUCUCAGUGCAAUUUCAGAAACCUAAUGGUCAACCCUGUUGGUUAACUUGUGUCUAUGAGCCUCGAAGUAAUGAUGAAAAGAUCCUUUUUCUACAAGAGUUAAGGCAAAUCAGAAGUACAUGUCUUGAUCCAUGGGUUGUAGGAGGAGAUUUCAAUCUAAUAUACAAAGUGGAGGACAAGAAUAAUGACAAUGUGAACAGAGCAAUGAUGGGCCAAUUUAGGAAGUUUACAAAUGAUGUCGGUCUUAUUGAUGUUCCCCUCAUUGGUAGCAAAUAGACGUGGUCUAACCACCAAAUUUCGCCAACGUUGGUCAGACUAGAUAGAGCUCUUUGCACUUCUGAUUUAGAGGCUAUGUUACCUAAUCAUCUUCUUUAGAGUGCUGUGUAUGAGGACUCAGAUCAUUGCCCACUGAUUCUUGGGCUUAACAGUAAGUGUUCUGGCAAGCGUAGAUUCAUGUGGCUUAAUAGUAAGUUUAUCAAGGUUGGAGUGAUAAAAAGGUAGGUCAUGUGGCUUCCCAGCUGGCCCUUGCUAGAGAAAUCCUGCAUCAAUUUGAAGUUGCUCAAGAUUUUCGGCUCUUGUCUCCAAUGGUAGAUUGGCUUAUGAGGGGUCUUAAAAAGCAUUCACUAGCCCUUGCUUCCCUCAAGGGUACCAUUGCCCGUUUGAGAUCAAGAAUCAGCUGGAUUAAGGAGGGUGAUGCCAAUUCCGAAUUUUUUCAUAUGCAUGCUAGAUACAGAAAAAGGAAGAAUUUUGUCGCCAAACUUGUCUCGGGUAGUGACACAUACACUGAUCAUGAUGAGAAGGCCAAAGCGAUGGAUGGGUUUUAUUGUAAGCUUUUGGGCUGCAGGGUGGACAAAUCCAUGACUGUUGACCUGGACUUCUUGGGUUUACCCUCUCAUGACUUGACUGAUUUGGAUGCAUCGAUCUAUGAAAAGGAGGUUCUUGAAUCUAUAAAGAAGCAACCAUCAUACAAGGCGCCAGGUCCAGAUGGGUUCAUACUUCAUAGGAAGGUUUUAUAAAGUGUGUUGGCCAAUUAUCAAAGGGGAUGCGAUGGCUGUUAUUUCUGCAAUUUGGAGCAGGAACUUUGGGAAAUUUGGUAGGUUAAAUACAACUUUUGUAACUCUUAUCCCUAAGAAGGAGGGGAAAGGAUUUUCGACCUAUCAGUUUAGCGCACAGUAUCUCCAAGGUUGUCACCAAAUUGAUGGCUAACAGACUGUCCCAUAAGCUGCAUGAUUUAGUUUCCCUAAGGCACAACACUUUUAUUAAAGAUUGUUUCAUCCAGGACAACUUCAUGAUGAUACAACAAAUUGCCAGAUUGCUUCAUCAACAAAGAAAGCCAAGGGCACUUCUGAAGCUAGACAUCACCAAAGCCUUUGAUUUCGUCUCUUGGCCUUUAUUUCUUGAUGUAAGGGGCCUUAAUUCUGCAUCUAGGCAGAGUUCAGUUAGAACCUUUAUUGAAUCCUGUGCUGCAGAUUUAGUAUUGUCCUCAGAAAAUUUUUAGUUGGAAUGUAAGGGGCCUUAAUUCUGCAUCUAGGCAGAGUUCAGUUAGAACCUUUAUUGAAUCCUGUGCUGCAGAUUUAGUAUUGUCCUCAGGAAACCAAAAUGCAAAGAAUCAAUAAAGGAAAGGUGUUGGCUAUUUUGGGAGCAGAUUUUGAUCAAUUCAUUUCUUUACCAUCUGCUGGGGCUAGUGGAGGUAUUCUGGUAUCAUGGAGAAGACAUAUAAAGUUGACAGAGCUAAAUUGAGUGGAUGCUUAUAAUGUCUCAGUGCAAUUUCAGAAACCUAAUGGUCAACCCUGUUGGUUAACUUGUGUCUAUGAGCCUCGAAGUAAUGAUGAAAAGAUCCUUUUUCUACAAGAGUUAAGGCAAAUCAGAAGUACAUGUCUUGAUCCAUGGGUUGUAGGAGGAGAUUUCAAUCUAAUAUACAAAGUGGAGGACAAGAAUAAUGACAAUGUGAACAGAGCAAUGAUGGGCCAAUUUAGGAAGUUUACAAAUGAUGUCGGUCUUAUUGAUGUUCCCCUCAUUGGUAGCAAAUAGACGUGGUCUAACCACCAAAUUUCGCCAACGUUGGUCAGACUAGAUAGAGCUCUUUGCACUUCUGAUUUAGAGGCUAUGUUACCUAAUCAUCUUCUUUAGAGUGCUGUGUAUGAGGACUCAGAUCAUUGCCCACUGAUUCUUGGGCUUAACAGUAAGUGUUCUGGCAAGCGUAGAUUCAUGUGGCUUAAUAGUAAGUUUAUCAAGGUUGGAGUGAUAAAAAGGUAGGUCAUGUGGCUUCCCAGCUGGCCCUUGCUAGAGAAAUCCUGCAUCAAUUUGAAGUUGCUCAAGAUUUUCGGCUCUUGUCUCCAAUGGUAGAUUGGCUUAUGAGGGGUCUUAAAAAGCAUUCACUAGCCCUUGCUUCCCUCAAGGGUACCAUUGCCCGUUUGAGAUCAAGAAUCAGCUGGAUUAAGGAGGGUGAUGCCAAUUCCGAAUUUUUUCAUAUGCAUGCUAGAUACAGAAAAAGGAAGAAUUUUGUCGCCAAACUUGUCUCGGGUAGUGACACAUACACUGAUCAUGAUGAGAAGGCCAAAGCGAUGGAUGGGUUUUAUUGUAAGCUUUUGGGCUGCAGGGUGGACAAAUCCAUGACUGUUGACCUGGACUUCUUGGGUUUACCCUCUCAUGACUUGACUGAUUUGGAUGCAUCGAUCUAUGAAAAGGAGGUUCUUGAAUCUAUAAAGAAGCAACCAUCAUACAAGGCGCCAGGUCCAGAUGGGUUCAUACUUCAUAGGAAGGUUUUAUAAAGUGUGUUGGCCAAUUAUCAAAGGGGAUGCGAUGGCUGUUAUUUCUGCAAUUUGGAGCAGGAACUUUGGGAAAUUUGGUAGGUUAAAUACAACUUUUGUAACUCUUAUCCCUAAGGAGGGGAAAGGAUUUUCGACCUAUCAGUUUAGCGCACAGUAUCUCCAAGGUUGUCACCAAAUUGAUGGCUAACAGACUGUCCCAUAAGCUGCAUGAUUUAGUUUCCCUAAGGCACAACACUUUUAUUAAAGAUUGUUUCAUCCAGGACAACUUCAUGAUGAUACAACAAAUUGCCAGAUUGCUUCAUCAACAAAGAAAGCCAAGGGCACUUCUGAAGCUAGACAUCACCAAAGCCUUUGAUUUCGUCUCUUGGCCUUUAUUUCUUGAUGUUCUUCGGAAACUUGGAUUUGGACAGAUUUGGAGAGAUAUCUUAAGUGGGUUAUUGGCCACUUCAUCCACACAAGUUCUCCUCAACGGAGUUCCAGGGAUGUUAUUAAUCAUAAGAGGGGGUUGAGGCAAGGGGAUCCUCUUUCAUCUAUGCUUUUUAUAUUGGUAAUGGACAUCCUUGGGUGCCUUGUUACUAAAGCGGAAGAGGAGGGACUGCUGCAACCUCUCUCCUCCAAACCCAUACAACACAUGCUGAUGACACGUUUUUAUUUUUUCAUCCAAGGGAGAAUGAAAUACAUAUUGUGCUCAAUAUUUUGAAGCUAUUCAGAGAAGCUUCAGGUUUGAAAACUAAUAUUCAGAAGAGUAGUUUUUAUCCCAUACAAUGUGGUGAUGAGGAUUUGAUAACCCUACAGGAUCAGCUUCCAUGUGAGCUCAUAUUUUCUCAGUAAAUACCUUGCCCUGCCUCUAUCUUAAAAAAACUGUCCAGAAUUCAGGUGCAACCCAUUAUUGACAGAGUGGCUGAUCCAAUGUUUGGUUGGAAAGCGGAUCUAAUGACAAGGGCUACGAAAGGAGUGCAGGUCGCUAGGUCCAAUAUGUGAUGAUAGGCAUGCUCAUUUAUUUAGCCUUAGCAGUUGACAUACCCCCAGGAUCACUCAAGGCUAUUGACAAGAUCAGAAAAGGCUUUCUCUACCGUGGAAGGAAAGAUGUUACAGGAGGACAUUGUUUAGUGGCUUGGGGCAGAGUUGGCGAGUGCCGGCUAGCUGACUAUUGACAUGGUAUAUCUUUUUCCCCCCUGCUUUGUAGUUUCUUCUUUCUUUUGCUGCAAGAAUCCUCGUGGGCAGCAGCAUCUUCCAUCAGGUUGUGUUAUGUUUUCACUUUUUUUCCCUCGAUCACACAGGACUGCACAUCUCCUUGGACAUAAAGUUUUGUACUCCCUCCGUCCCAAAUUAAAAUUCGUUUUACUAUUUUAGUAGAUUCAUACAAUAAUAAAUGUAUGUGUUCUAUAUAUAUGUAUAGAUUCAUUAUCAUCUAUAUGAAUAUAGACAUAAAAAUCUAGAGAUAGAGCUAAAAAUGACUAUGGUUUUGGAUCGGAGGAGAAUCUUUUUCUCUUUUGUCUGUUUCGGCAUAGAAACACAUCACAACUGGGAACCUGUAUGUAACAAGAGUUCAUUUGCAAAAACUUUGGAAAUUCACAGGACGCAUUUCUGCA